CAUUGAUUUCUUUGCAGCCUUUCUGAGUACGUGCUUCAAGGAUUCACUUGCUCUCGUGUCCAGACUUUCACCAAAACAAAAAUUCAACAUCUCAUCAGAGCUUGCAGACAUAGGGCCGGUCGGAGAAAGGUGGUUCUCAAGGAGACACAGCUAACAUGCAUGUGGAACAACAUCAAAGGUGAAAGUCCUCAAGAUUUUGACAACUAUCCAUCAGAUAUGUUGCUGUAUUACAGCUACACCAACAUACAACAGACCYACUGCAGAUCCUACUUCARUGAAACAGGAAGAGCAGACUUCUCCGUCCUGUCCAGCACYUUGGAUGGAWGAAAGGUUGAUCUACU